rnacentral:lncRNA from 1 species
UUCAUCUUUACCAUUAGACUAAAUUAUGAAAUUCAUAAAACUGUUAAAACUUUUGAAUAUGGUGAAGCUUUAACAUGGGCCAAUUAUCGUUACAGGCAUGAAAAAAUUCAUAUUGGAGAGAAACCGUAUGAACGUAACCAAUGUGGUAAAGCCUUUGGAAGUGACAAUCAUCUCCAAGUACAUAAAAGAACAAAUACUGGAGAGAAACCUUAUGAAUGUAAUCAAUGUGGUAAAGCCUUUUCACAACAGAGUAGUCUCCAGUAUCAUAAAAGAACACAUGCUGGACAGAAACCUUAUGAAUGUAAUCAGUGCGGUAAAGCCUUGUCAUGUCAAAGAAGUCUCCAAUAUCAUAAAAGAACACAUACUGGAGAGAAAACUUGUGAAUGUAAUCAGUGUGGUAAAGCUUUUGUAAGACCCAGUCAACUCCAAAAACAUAAAGGAACACAUACUGGGGAGAAACCCUAUGAAUGUAAUCAGUGUGGUAAAGCCUUUGCACAUCACAAUAAUCUCCAAUAUCAUAAAAGAACACAUACUGGAGAGAAACCUUAUGAAUGCGAUCAAUGUGGAAAAGCCUUUGCAGUUCAGUAUAGUCUCCAAUAUCAUAAAAGAAGACAUACUGGAGAGAAACCUUAUGAAUGUAAUGAAUGUGGUGAAACCUUUGCAUUUCAGUAUAGUCUUCAAUACCAUAAAAGUACACAUACUGGAGAGAAACCUUAUGAAUGUAAUCAAUGUGGUAAAGCAUUUCCACAUCACAAUAAUCUCCAAAACCAUAAAAGAAUACAUAGUGGAGAGAAACCUUAUGAAUGUAAUCAAUGUGGUAAAGCUUUUGCAAGAACCGGUCAACUCCAAACCCAUAAAAGAACACAUACUGGAGAGAAACCUCAUGAGUGUGAUCAAUGUGGUAAAGCCUUUGCACUUCAGUAUAAUCUCCAAAAACAUAAAAGAAUACAUACUGGAGAGAAACCUUAUCAGUGUACUCAAUGUGAUAAAGCAUUUUCACAACACAGUAGUCUUCAAUAUCAUAAAAGAACACAUACUGGAGAGAAACCUUAUGAGUGUGAUCAAUGUCGUAAAGCCUUUGCAUGGCAAUAUAGUCUCUAUAUACAUAAAAGAAUACAUACUGGAGAGAAACCUUAUGAGUGUAAUCAAUGUGGUAAAGCCUUUGCACAUCACACUAGUCUCCAAUAUCAUAAAAGAACACAUACUGGAGAGAAACCUUAUCAGUGUGAUCAGUGUGGUAAAGCAUUUGCUCAUCAAAAUAAUCUCCAAUAUCAUAAACGAACACAUACUGGAGAAAAUCCUUAUGAAUGCAAUCAAUGUGGUAAAGCCUUUGCAAGUCACACUCAUCUCCAAGUACAUGAAAGAACACAUUUUAGAAAAAAACCUUAGAAUGCAAUCAAUGUUGUAAAGACUUUGGAUAUAAGACUAAUCUCCAAAGACAUAAAGGAACAUAUACUGGACAGAAACCUCAUGGAUGUAAUCAAUGUGGUAAAGCAUUUGCAACUCACAGUCAUCUACAACGACAUAAAAGAACACAGAGGAGAGAAACUGGUUAUUGUUUACAUACUGACAUAAGAAGAUACAAGUAUGUAUCAAAUUGACAAUGGAUGGAUUGUGAUUGCUACUCUUGGUUUUCAAUAUAAGAUCUAAAGUGAAAGCAUAGGUCCAGGCAUGGUGGUACAUGCCCUUGAACCCUAGGAGAUGAGCAUCAAGCAGAUCUCUGAGUUCAAGUCCAUCCUGAUACAGAACAAGUUUCAGGUGAAGAAAAGCUAAGGUCUAGGCCUGUGGAUACAGAGCCUUGCAGAUCUCUGAGUUCAAGGUCAAUAUAUAGAGCAAGUUCCAGGACAGCCAAGCUGAGGAAGUAAAGGAUUUGGAGAACUGAAAACUGGUGAUAAUGUAAUAGAAGAGGCCAGGUCCCAGGCCCACAAAGCAGCAGAACUCAGCAGCUUUGUCCAUGUGGCUCUGACUUUAGAGGUAAGAAUAGAAGGGACUACUGGGAAAAUGGAAGCUUGUUAGCUGUAGCUGAGAAAUUAGAAGUGAUGAUGAAGACACCAACAUCAUUGAGAUGAAAGCUUCUAGGAAAUGAUUUCUGAGAGGACAAAGAAACUGUGUUCCAGAGAUAGACAGGAUUGUACCUUGUGUUGCAGCUGAACAUGGUUUCAUGUAAGAAUCACCCAGGUGGUACUGGUUUUGAAGGCAUGACGGUGUCAUGAGGAGCAGCUGAGGCUUGGACCAAUGAAGGGAGCAUAAGUGAGGCUAUCACUGAAGCCUAGUUGCAGGAGAAGAACCCAACAUAUUGAAGAUGCCAGUCCAAUGGGAUGAGCAGAAAGAACAGCCCAGUAGAGCGGAGUCAACCAGAGCUUAGAGUGAUACAGACAGCAGAGCUGAAGAAGUGACCUUAUCUCUUUGGAGGAUAGCAGAAGAUCAUGUGUGGAUCCAAGACAUUGGAACAAGAAACUGUAACACUGAGGUUACCUUGGAGACCCCAAGAUCUUGGAAAUGCCAGAGCUCUGGGGUACCUGCUCAGGAAAACCAGCCAAAGAGAAAGAAUUGUGCUGCAGUGAACUAAGCAGAAAGGAGUUGGAGAUCUGAAGAAUGCUUUAACAUCACUCAUGGAGAUGCAGUUUGGAGAUUUCCAAGCUGGCUUUUGGUUUUUGUUUUGGUCCAUUAUUUCCUCGUGAGGACAUUUAGGAAUGGUGAAAUCUAUGUUGUGAAGUUGGAAGUAUAUGAUCUGCUUUUAGAUUUUUCUUUUUUAGGGGAUUACAGUUACAUUGAAUGAAUCUCAGAAGAGACUUUGACCUUUGGACUUUUAACAUUUUUGAGACUGGUGUAGAUGAUGGGGACUUUUGAAGUUGGACCUCAUGUAUUUUUCAUUAUGCAUGUUUAAAUAUGGUCCUCAUACGUUCUUGUACUCCAACAUGGUUAUGGGGGCCAGUGAGUGGAAUAUGGGAGUUUGAAUAUACUUGUCACAGGGAGUGGCUCUAUUAAGAGGUGUGACCUUGUUGGAGGAAGUGGAUAUCUCUGGGGAUGGACUUUGAAGCUCCACCUAGUACAAAACAGACCCUCCUAUUCCCUCCCUGGAAGACAGUUUCUUCCUGGCUGCCUUUGGAUCAAAGUGCAGAACUCUCAGCUCCUUCUCCAGCAUCAUGUCUGCCUGCAUGCUGCUGUGCUUCCUGCUAUGAUGAAAAUGGACUAAACCUCUGAAACUGUAAGCCAGCCCCAAUUAAAGGUUUGCUUUAAUGAGAGUUGCCUUGGUCAUGAUGUCUAUUCCUAGCAAUGGCAACACUAAGACAGAAACCUUGGGAGUGUAUUUAAUAUGGUGAAGCCUUUGCACAAUUCUGUAGGCUUCAUCAUCAUGAAAGAAUAUGUACUGGAGCCAGACAGUGGUGGUGCAUGCCUUUAAUCCCAGCACUUGGGAGGAAGAUGCAGGCGGACUUCUGAGUUCUCAUCCAGCCUGGUCUACUGAGUGAUUUCCAGGACAGCCUGGGCUAUAGAGAGAAACCCUGUCUUGAAAAACCAAAACACAACAAAAGAGUAUGUACUGGAGAGAAACCUUUUGAAUGUACUUACUAUGGUCAAGCUUCUUCCUACGGUUAAGAAGGAAUGACUUUGACAGAUAUAGUUCUCAUUCUCUGUCUUUAGAACGUGAGCAUCACACAGGAGUUCAUGACAAGCUCAUUCUUGGACCCUAUCUACAUGUGUUAAAUCAGAAGUUUUGCUCUCAGUAUAUGACCUCUAGAAAAAUAAUUAAAGGUGGCCCCUGAACUCUUUAUUUCUGACUCUCCAGUUACUACUAAUCUAUCUUUCAAGCAGAGGCCCCAUGUCCUUGAGCUCUCUUUGGGAGCAGAGGUGAUCAGAAAGGUAGUCAAGGGCUCUGAAGCCCCUCAGGAACACUAGUGGUUUCAGGCAACACCAGCCCCACUGAAGCACACACACAAAAUCGUGUUGAGGAUUAAUCUAAUGUGUGCUCUCUGACUCAGCGUUUGCAACUAGCAGCUAGAACUUGCCAUAUCCACCCAACAAACCCCAUACACAUCUAGGAAACUUCUGCAGCUCAGAAACUCCUGUUGCACCUGAAAUUGGAUUUCCCAGAAUCAUACAAUGUAUACUGACCACUGUUUUUCCUCCGUGUAAUCCUCAUAAGUCUAGCCUACCUUCCCUUUUCCCCAGAUCCACUCUCCCUGCUCCAUUUUCUCUUCAGAAAAGAACAAACCUCCAAGAGUAGAGAGCCUAAGAAGACCAAACAAGAUGCAAAACAAAAGGCAAUAGACCUCAUACUGAGUCUGGACAAGGCCACUCAAUAGGAAGAAGAGUUGCAAGAGCAGUUGAGGGAGUCAGAGCUACAUCUUUUCUCACUGUGAGGAUUCCCACACAAACACCAAGCUAACAGCCAUAACAUACCAGCAGAGAACUUGGUAGACACCCAUGCAAACCCCAUUUUUGCCAUUUUGGUCCGUGUGAAAUUUUUGGCCAUCCAGAUUGUGUAAGACUUGAGUUUCCUCUCCUGGUAUGGGCUUCACGUUAAAGCAACCAUUGAUUCCUGACUCCAAAGAGUUGGAUGCCACCAUGCCCCUGCACAUCUUGCAGGCAGGACAGAUUUUACAUGGAGGGUUUUUUAGGUGGGUUGAUGUCCAGGCAGGAUUCUCUUCCUAUAGCCUGGAGAGUGUCUUUUCAUCUCAAAGAGAACAGAACACUGGAGUGCAGUCUCCAAGCCUGCAAGCAUGUCUGUAUUCUGUGACCUAUGUGGAAGUUGUCCUCAGCAAUGGCCCUGCUGUCUGUUUUCAGAGAGUAACCUUCUCUCUUGUCCUUGUAAUGUUUCGCCAGCAAAACACACUCGGACAACCAGAUCCUCCUACGGCAAAGCUUUAUUGCUUACUUAUCAGGAAGACCUCGAAUACAGGAAACUCAGUAUUUAUAACCCACAAAGAGCGGUUGGAGACCUGUCAGCUCCUGAUGAGCUGCUCACUAUCAGCCCAGAUGACUGCCCUGGGACAGGCAGGGCACAAGGCAUGGAAAAAUACCCCAGCAUAUGCGCAGACUACUUGUUUACUAGUUAGAACACCGGAUAUCAGCGCCAUCUUGUAAUGGCGAUUGCAAGAGCGGCUCCUCACACUUCUCUCCUAGCAUCAAUCUGCAUUGUAUAAGGAUCCCCAUGGGAUCUUUUUGGCCAACAAUUCAACUGAGUAUAGCCCAGUCCCUUCCUACUGAAGCCCUGCCUGGUCAUGAUAGAUGGCCAGUUCAGUCUCUAUAUUCUCUGUUACUAGGAGUCCUCACUAAGGUAAUCCUCAUAGAUUUCAGGAAGUUACCAGUACACUAAGUUUCUAUAUUAACACCCAAGUGACCCAUAAUUCUAGUUUUUUCUCCCUACACUGGACUCCCUCUCACUCUGUCCUUGUUCAUCUUUAGUCCACCCACAGAAUUUAUUCUAAUUCCCCUUUCCAGGGAGAUCCAUUCUUCUCUCCUGUAGCCCUUCUCUUUACCUAGUCUCUCUGGGUCUAUGGAAUGUAGUUUGAUUAUCAUUUACCUAAUAAUUUAUAUCUGUUUUUAAAUCAAGGUAUACCAUACUUGUUUUUCUGGGUCUUGUUUCCCUCACUUAGGGUGAUUAUUUUUUUUCUACUUGAAUCUAUUUUCUUGUGAAUUUUGUUCUGUUCUUUAUUUGUCUGUGGUGUCCAAUCUUUGUUUGUGAAUCUCUGCAUCUGUUUCAGUCAGCUGCUGUGUAGGCUCCUGUCUGCAUGAUACAAGUAUUCUGAAUAAUAUCAGGGAUUGAUGCUUGCCCAUGGGAUGAGUCUAAAGUUGGGUAAGGUAUAGGUUGGCUCUUCCCUUCAUGUCUGCUCCAUCUUUGUACCUGCAUUUCUUUCUUGCUUUCUUUCUUUCUUCCUUUCUUUUUUAGAUUUAUUUAUUUAUUAUUUGUAAGUACACUGUACCUGUUUUGAGACACCCAGAAGAGGGCAUCAGAUCUCAUUACUGUUGCUUGUGAGCCACCAUUUAGUUGCUGGGAUUUGAACUCAGGACCUUCAGAAGAACAGUCAGUGCUCUUAACCACUGAGCCAUCUCCAGCCCCUGUGCCUGCAUUUCUUGUUACAGGACAAAUUUUGGGUAGAAAGUUUUAUGGUUCAGGUGGUGUUCUUAAAUCUCCACUGGCUGUCAAUCCUGGCUGCAGGAAGUGGCCGAUUCACAUUCCACAUCCCACUGCUAUGAGUCUCAGUCAUGUUACCCCAUACACUCCUGGGUGCCUUUUAUAUCUAUGGUCUCCUUCACAUGCUGAAGAUUCCUCUACUUCCCCCCUCCCCACACCCACACACACACCCACCCCCAUCCCUGCCAGCUGCAGAUUUCCUGGAUCUAUGGCCCUCUCUCCUGUCUCUUACCACACCUGUUCCUAACCGUUCCCCUUUCCCAUUUCCAGUCCUGUUUUCCAACAAUUUCCUUGUCUACAUCUCUCUCCUAUGACUGUUUUAUUCUGCCUUCUGAGUGAGAUUCAACCAUGCUCACUUCAGUUAGCUUCUUUGGGUCUGUGUAAUGUAGCAUGGAUAACCUGUACUUUAUGGUUAAUAUUUACUUGUGAGUGAAUACAUACAUGCAUGUCCGUUUGGGUCUGGAUUACUUUUCUAGUUCUGUUCAUGUGCUUUCAAGUUUCAUGAUGUCCUUGUUCUUAAUAGCUGAAUAUUAUUCCUUGUUAAAAUGAACUACAUUUUCUGUAACCACUGUUCUGUUGAGUGACAUCUGGGUUGUUUUCAGUUUCCAGCUAUUAUGAAUAGAACUGAUACGAACAUAGUAGUGCACGUGCCAUUGUCUGUAUAUGUCUAAGAAGGUGCCCUAAGGGUAACAUUCCCUCCUGUUCGGCUUCUAUUAAUGGAAGGAGUAGGCAAAGUGAUUCCUAGUCACUGGAAGGAACUUCAAAUCAAACCUCCCCAUCUGUGGUCCAAGCAUGGGAGGGUUCAUCAACUUAGAAGCCAAACUUGACAGGAUCACCCAUAUUCUGCUGCUUCUGCAAAUUGAAAGAUGAGAAAUUCCAGGUUAUGAACACUUCCUCUAUGUUUUCAAUUCAGCACUAUUCUAUCCAUCUUUUGGCAAAGUCAGAGCCCCGGUGAAGAUUCUGUGAGGGUUCAUUGUAUUGAAUUUAUGAUAAUGAAGAUUGAGUUGCAUUUUUCGAACAAAAGAUAUUGAUAUUCCUAAGGCAUUGAGAAAUCUGUCAUGCAGAGAUGCACACAGGGAGAGGGAGUACCCAAACUGAGAGAUGCAUGAGAAGUUACAGGAAUUGGAUCAUCUAAGCCUUUAGAAAGGGAACUCCAGUGUGUCUCAAACAAAGGUAUAUGAUUCGGUGCUUGCUCUGCUGUAUGUCUUGCCUUGGUCCAAUCUCACGCCCCCCCCCCCCAUGUGCACAUGCCUAUCUAUUGGACAGGGAAGGGGUAUUCUGUGCCAUUGUAUGUUGGUACAGAAGCACCUACAGACUAUUAGGAUCAUUGAAGUUACACUGAAUGCAUUUUCAUCACAGGAGGAAUAUGAGGCUAUAGUGCCCAGGGGCAGAAUUCAGUUGAUUGUAACAAAAUGUUCCUAGAUAUGUUGAUGUCUUUGAACAGUUGUCUAUCUUUUGUGGCUUUCUUUGGUGAGUUUAUAGAUGCUCUUUAGGAGGAGCCUUACCAGAUCUUUUUUUUUUUUUCACUUUUUUCCAUUCUCCUUUAUUCCAUAAACACCUAGUUACAAGUUGCACAAAUCAUUAAUUUUUAUAAAGGCAGAGAAGGGUAAAGGAAAGUGUUUCUGUGAUGGGUGGGGGAAGGGACAAAGAAUUGGAACUAGUCCACUUUCUCCACGGCCCUUAUAGGACCAUGGCAUUUGCAGUGGGGCUCUGAGGAAGAAGUGGGCAAGGGUCAGGGGAGCUGAGGGACAGAGAUCCCUAAACCCAGAGCUUUCCCCCAAACCCUUCGAUGCGUGGCAGGGGCUCGGGAAGAUGAGGCGGUUUGGAGAUGGAGCAGCAACAUGAGAACUCAAGGUAAUGGAUACAGGAUGGGUGGGACACGCGGUGAGGGGUGAAGAUGGAAACGUAGGUAAAGGGGGCAGUAGAAGGCUCUCCCUGAGACCCAGGGAGAGGCGGGGCCAGCUUGCCUGUAAAUUUAAUAUUAAAUUGUCUCCUGGUAAACCUUGGGUGCGCCGUCCCCAGUGUUGGAGUAGGAGAUGACAGUGGAAGAGGAGAAAGUCUGGCAGUUGCCCCCGGCAGUCAUGUGCUCCAUCUUCCCAAUCAUGUAGUUCAUCAUCCCAAACAUGUCCAUGAAGCCGCCGGACAUUCCCAAAAUCCCGAAGGGAGAGACAACCCCAGCCUGCAGCCUGCGGCUGGCAGGCCUAGUUGCAGGCAUGUUACCAUCUGUGAUGCUCAGGAAGGGGCUAUAUCCAAAUCCGCCUGAGAUCAUGCGGCUCAGGUGCUGACGGUGAAUUGCGAAGGGGUCCAUCAGGAACAUGGGACCUCGGGCUCCACGUCCCUCAUUAAGCGGAACAUCCUGAUCUCAGCUCCAGGGGUCUCCACACAGUCCCCGACUCCUGCUCAGCGGCCCAUCCGGCCAGCCUCUCCUCAGGGCGCUGCAGGACGCAGGGAGCAGGGAUUGGUUCGCACAGCAGCAUCUCGCCUACCGCACCGCCUCCUGCCUUCCGCUGCCACCUCCGUACCCUCCCCCCACCCACUUACCAGAUCUUUUAUUAGGGGAUAGGAUUCGUGUGUCUGUACACUCAACAGAUUUCUUUCUUUUUUUAUUUUUUGUUUCUCCAAUAAUUUAUACAUUUAUUAUCCUUCUGAUCACUGUUCCCUCUCCAGGUCAAACCACCCCCACCCCCACCCCCCGUCCCUGUCCCCAAUCCCCUUUGUUUCUCCUUUGAGUGGCUGUGGGCCCUCCAAGGUGUACCCCAAUCAUGGCACUUUAAGUACCUGUUGGGUUAGGUGCAUCCUCUCCCACUGAGACCGUACAUGGCAUCUUACUUAUGGGAACAGAUUCCAAAGAUAGUCAAGAGCUUUAGGGACAGCCUCUACUCCAGUUGUUGGGAGACCCACAUGAAAUCUGAGAUGCAUAUCUGCUAUGUAUGUGCUAGGAAUCUUAGUUCAGUCUGUGUAUGCUCUUUGGUUGGUGGCUCAGACUCUGAGAGUACCCAAGGUUACAGGUUAAUUGAGUCUGUUAUUCUUCCUGGGGAGUUCCUACCCCAUUAAGGCUCUUCAGUCCUUCCCUGCACUUUCAUAAGAGUCCCCAAGGUUUGUUUAAUAUUUGGCUAUGAAUUCUGUUCUUUGUGGCUAUUGUGUCGUGGUUGAAACUGGUCAUUCAGCUGUCUUCUCAUGCUCUCAUACAUUCACCAUUUGGACUCUGUCCCUAAAUCACCUAGGAUACUGUAGAAGCAUUUGCUGAUCAAUACUAAGCCAUUUUGCAAGCUUGGUGCGUUUUUUAUUUUUAAUUUUAUUCCUUUUGUUUUUGUUUUUCAAGACAAAAGUUUCUCUGUGUAGCCUUUCCUCUUCUGAAGGGGAUUAGAUAUGGGCCAACAUGCUUGCAUGAUUUUGUUUUUAUAUUAUUAGCUUAUGUGCUUGGAAUGUAAGUUUUUGUACAUGCAAGCGUAUGCUGUUGUGCAGAUCUUCAUCCACAUCUUGAAGUUUGAAGUUUGGCCAAGAAUAUACAGAGUAGAUUCUCUUUCUCAUGAUGGCAUGUGUUCAUGACAUCAAUACUUACCCAAGGCUUCAGAGUCAUUGGAUUGCUGGUGUGUGACAUUUUUUCCUACCUGUUGAAUUUUUACAAAGAGUAUGAGGGUUUUGCCAGUGUGCAUAUAUAUGACUAUCAUGUGUGCCUCAUCUUUACUGUAGUCAGAUGGCAGCCUCAGAACACUUAAACUUGAAGUAAUGAGCAGUUGUGGGUCCUCAUGUAAAUACUGGCCAUUGACCCCCUUUUUUUGUGGAAGACCAGAAAGAGCUUUCCACUGCAGAGCUAUCUCCCUGCCCUAUGUUGCUCAUUUAUGAUCCACAUUUAUAUUACUGGUAUUUUCAUCUGUCCAUUUGUAAUUGUUUAAACAUACAUUCUCUUUUAUAAAAUUUGUUUCCGUUUAAACUGGGGCAUUUCAGGUUUCUGCCAGAUGACUACAGACUGUAUACUGUAGUGAAUGUAUAAUUCUUUGUAGGAACUUCAGUAAAGACCUCUGAAUUCUUUCUAUGUUUUUUGUUGGCUUGAUUCCAUUUUGGAGGGGAAUGAAGGUCUUAGUAUGUACCUUUGUUGUCCUGGAACUUUUUGCUUAGCCCACGCUGACAUCUAACUAAAUGACAUACACCUGCCUGUGCCUCUGGGAUUAAAUCCAUGAGCAAACAUAUUCAGCUUGCCUAUCAUUUUUGUACUUUGUGAUUGGUCAUACAAUGUCUCUGAUGUGUGCUUAAUAAUGUUGAUCUGUUUGCCUCUCUCCUUCCCCCUCUCUAUCAAUUGCAAUUUGUCUUGCAAGGCUAUAUCCUAUUCAAAGCAUUCAGAAGUGACACAGGUGAAGCUCAUAGUUCAGUUUCCUUCUAAAAUAACUUGCUGAUUAGAUUGUAACUUCUCUGUCAGGAAAUAGUGGAGGAAGCACCAGAAGUAUAUGUAUAUAUUGUCAAGGAGGCAUAUAUUUAUUUACAGUGAUGUCAGGAUUAUGCUUUGUGUUGUCCAAAUCUAUGGGAUAUUUUAGGAUGCAGUGACUUAUGAUGAUGUGCGUGUGAACUUCACUGAGGAAGAGUGGGAUUUGCUGGAUCCUUCCCAGAAAAGUCUCUAUGAAGAGGUGAUGCUGGAGACCUACCAGAACAUCACUGCUAUAGGCUACAAUUGGGAAGACCAUCAUAUUGAAGAACAUUGUCAAAGUUCUAGAAGACAUGAAAGGAAUGAAAGAAGUCGUAUUGGAGAGAAACCCUAUGAAUGUUAUCAAUGUGGUAAAGCCUUUGCACGUCACAAUCAUCUCCAAAUACAUAAAAGAAUACAUACUGGAGAGAAACCUUAUGAAUGUAAUCAAUGUGGUAAAGCCUUUGCAUGUCACAGUCGUCUCCAAAGACAUAAAAGAACACAUACUGGAGAGAAACCUUAUGAAUGUAAUCAAUGUGGCAAAGCUUUUGCACGUCACAGUCAUCUCCAAAGACACGAAAAAACACAUAAUGCAGAGAAAUCAUAUGAAUGUAAUCAAUGUGGUAAAGCCUUUUCACAACAGAAUAAUCUCCAAUAUCAUAAAAGAACGCAUACUGGAGAGAAACCUUAUCAGUGUAAUCAAUGUGGUAAAGCUUUUGCAUUUCACAAUAGUCUCCAGUAUCAUAAAAGAACACAUACUGGAGAGAAACCUUAUGAAUGUAAUCAAUGUGGUAAAGCUUUUGCAUUUCAGUAUAGUCUCCAAAAACAUACAAGAAUACAUACUGGAGAGAAACCUUAUCAAUGUGAUCAAUGUGGUAAAGCGUUUUCACAUGUGAUUCGUCUUCAAUAUCAUAAAAGAACACAUACUGGAGAGAAACCUUAUGAGUGUAAUCAAUGCGGUAAAGCCUUUGCAUUUCACAAUAGUCUCCAAAAACAUAAAAGAACACAUACUGGAGAGAAACCGUAUCAAUGUAAUCAAUGUGGUAAAGCAUUUUCACAACAGAGUAGUCUCCAAUAUCAUAAAAGAACGCAUACUGGAGAGAAACCUUAUGAGUGUAAUCAAUGCGGUAAAGCCUUUGCAUGUCACAAUAGUCUCCAAAAACAUAAAAGAACACAUACUGGAGAGAAACUGUAUCAAUGUAAUCAAUGUGAUAAAGCAUUUGCACAUCACAAUAGUCUCCAAUAUCAUAAAAGAACGCAUACUGGAAAGAAUCCUUAUGAAUGCAAUCAAUGUGGUAAAGCCUUUGCAAGUCACACUCAUCACCAAGUACAUGAAAGAACAUAUUUUAGAAAAAAACCUUAGAAUGCAAUCAAUGUUGUAAAGACUUUGGAUGUAAGACUAAUCUCGAAAGACAUAAAGGAAUAUAUACUGGACAGAAACCUUAUGAAUGUAAUCAAUGUGGUAAAGCAUUUACAACUCACAGUCAUCUACAACGACAUAAAAGAACACAGAGGAGAGAAACCUGGUUAUUGUUUACAUAUUGACAUAAGGAGAUGCAAGUAUGUAUCAAAUUGACAAUGGAUGGAUUGUGAUUGCUACUCUUGGUUUUCAAUAUAAGAUCUAAAAUGGAAAGCAUAGGUCCAGGCAUGGUGGUACAUGCCCUUGAACCCUAGGAGAUGAGCUUCAAGCAGAUCUCUGAGUUCAAGUCCAUCCUGAUACAGAACAAGUUAAAGGUGAAGAAAAGCUUAGGUCUAGUCCUGUGGAUACAGAGCCUUGCAGAUCUCUGAGUUCAAGGUCAAUAUAUAGAGCAAGUUCCAGGACAGCCAAGCUGAGGCAGUAAAGGAGUUGGAGAACAGAAAACUGGUCAUAAUGUAAUAGAAGAGGCCAUGUCCCAGGCCCAGAAAGCAGCAGAACUCAGCAGCUUUGUCCCUGUGGCUCUGACUUUAGAGGUAAGAAUAGAAGGGACUACUGGGAAAAUUGAAGCUUGUUAGCUGUAGCUGAGAAAUUAGAAGUGAUGAAGAAGAGACCAGCAUCACUGAGGUGAAAUCUUCUAGGAAGUGUAUUCUGAGAGGACAAAGAAACUCUGUUCCAGAGAUAGCCAGAAUUGUACCUUGUGUUGCAGCUGAACUUGGUCUCAUGUAAGAAUCACCCAGGUGGUACUGGUUUUGAAGGCAUGACGGUGUCAUGAGGAGCAGCUGAGGCUUGGACUCAUGAAGGGAACAUAAGUGACUAGGCUAUCAGUGAAGCCUAGAUGCAGAAGAACCCAACAUAUUGAAGAUGCCAGUCCAAUGGGAUGAGCAGAAAGAACAACAGCAGUAAAGUGGAGUCAACCAGAGCUUAGAGCAAUACAGAGGUCAGAGCUGGAGAAGUGACCUUAUCUCUUUGGAGGAUAGCAGAAGAUCAUGUGUGGAUCCAAGACAUUGGAACAAGAAACUGUAACACUGAGGUUACCUUGGAGACCCCAAGAUCUUUGAGAUGCCAGAGCUGUGGGGUACCUGCUCAUGAAAACCAGCCAAAGAGAAAGAAUUAUGCUGCAGUGAACAAAGCAGAAAAGAGUUGGAGAUCUGAAGAAUGCUUUAACAUCAGACAUGGAGAUGUAGUUUGGAGAUUUCCAAGCUGGCUUUUGGUUUUGUUUUGGUCCAGUAUUUCCUCAUGACACUUAGGAAUGGUGAAAUAUAUCUUGUGAAGUUGGAAGUAUAUGAUCUGUUUUUAUUUUCUUUUUUAGGGGAUUACAGUUACAUGAUUGGAUGACUCUCAGAAGAGACUGUGACCUUUGGACUUUUAACAUAUUUGAGACUGGUAUAGAUGAUGGGGACUUUUGAAGUUUGACCACAUGUAUUUUCCAUUAUGCCAUGUUUAAGAAUGGUUCCCAUACAUUCCUGUACUCCAACAAGCUUAUGGGGCCAGUAAGUGGAAUGUGGGAGUUUGAAUUUGCUUGUCACAAGGAGUGGCUCUAUUAAGAGGUGUGACCUUGUUGGAGGAAGUGGAUAUCUCUGGGGGUGGACUUUCAAGCUCCACCAAGUGCAAAACAGACCCUCCAAUUCCCUCCCUGGAAGACAGUUUCUUCCUGGCUGCCUUUGGAUCAAAAUGCAGAACUUACAGCUCUUUCUCCAGCAUCAUGACUUCUUGCAUGCUGCCAUGCUUCCUGCUAUGAUGAAAAAUGGACUAAACCUCUGAAACUGUAAGCCAGCCCCAAUUAAAGGUUUGCUUUAAUGAGAGUUGCCUUGGUCAUGAUGUCUAUUCCUAGCAAUGGCAACACUAAGACAGAAACCUUGGGAGUGUAUUUAAUAUGGUGAAGCCUUUGCACAAUUCUAUAGGCUUCAUCAUCAUGAAAGAAUAUGUACUAGAGCCAGACAGUGGUGGUGCAUGCCUUUAAUCCCAGCACUUGGGAGGAAGAUGCAGGUGGACUUCUGAGUUCUCGGCCAGCCUGGUCUACUGAGUGAGUUCCAGGACAGCCUGGGCUAUAUAGAGAAACCCUGUCUCAAACAACCAAAAACAAAAACAAAAAACAAACCAACAAACAAAAGAAUAUGUACUGGAGAGAAACCUUUUGAAUGUACUUACUAUCGUUAAGGUUCUUCCUAUGGUUAAGAAGGAAUGACUUUGACAGAUACAGUUCUCAUUCUGUGUCUUUAGAACCUGAGCAUCACACAGGAGUUCAUGACAAGCUCAUCUUUGGACCCUGUCUACAUGUGUUAAAUCAGAAGUUUUGCUCUUUGCAAUGUGAAAUCUGUAUCAUGCAGGAAACAAGCCCAGGUCACUUUAUUAUCUUGUAUUAGUUCUCACGACUUUGCAUUGAGGAAUUACAUUUUCCUGCUUACUUAAUUCCAAAGGAGUUGUCUUGCUUCUCUUUAAUGAAAACUAAACUCUGUUAAACAACUAUAUAAAAAAUAAAAAUACAUAUGUAACUUUAUACAAUAUUGCUACAUUAAUUUUAUAUGAAACAUAUACAAAGUGAUACAUAAAAAUGUUAAAUGUCUAAAUCCAUUCUCCAAAGCAAAAAUAAAAGGGUCACCAUCUAAGUAAGCUUGGUUAUUUGAUAAGAAGAAAAUGAAAAUGAGUCACCUGUCAUCCAUUGCUAUUGUCUUCGUUCAUUGAGCUCAGUGGCCUCCUGAAGCACCCAGCUUGUCAUCUACUAAUGAGAAGUUAGGUUAUUUUAUAUUUUAUGCCACCAUGAAUCUAACUGUAACAAGCAUGAGAAUUCUGAUUCUUCUUAAAAAUUAAUUUCAGGGGCUGGUGAGAUGGCUCAGUGGGUAAGAGUACCCAACUGCUCUUCCAAAGGUCCGGAGUUCAAAUCCCAGCAACCACAUGGUGGCUCACAACCAUCCGUAACAAGAUCUGACGCCCUCUUCUGGUGUGUCGUGUCU